GCCCCCAUCGCGGAGGAGGCGUCUCCGCUGCCGGCUUCGCCGCCCGGCCGGUCCCCACCCACGCGCGGAAUUUUCCCGCCUCGGUGCGGCGCGGCUGUUCCCGAGCGAGGCGGCUUUCCCCGGGCAUCGGGGCCUGUGCGCGCCGGCCGGCGAAGGCCUGUCUCGGGAAGCCCUUUGCCUGGGUGGGAAGACCCGCCGGAUUCCGCUGGGGAGGCCGAAAUGCGGUUGGGGUUCUCCUAAGGGGCCGAUCCCCAGAAGCGUGGCUUCCCGAGCCGGUGGGUCAAGUCCUGCCCACGGGCCUGCAAAAAUGACGCUUGGCCGGUAGGGGGUCGCGGGGUCGUCUGAAUGCGCCCAUUUACGGGACACGUGUCCUGAUAAGCCAUAGUUCGAUUGAAUCAGAAUGACCUGUGGAAAGCUCGGCCAUCGAGGAAAUUGGUAAGCUGGCCUCAAACUGGAAAUGAGUCAGCACAAACCUCAGCGAUUGGAUGACCAACCUUGUUUGGGCUCCAAAGCUAAGCAGGGGUGGUUAUUACUUGGAUGAAGAUCUCCAGGGAUUUCUGAGACCAGAUUGAGAAUUUAAAAAAAAAAAUACCAGAAGACGCCAGCGACAGACGCUUCUAUCUUGCCUCAAAGGAAAUUACACGGGCAUGAUCCACUUUUCUUAAAUAGUAUGAAUAUUAUGUUACAACCUAUGCUCUGUGUAAAUAUUUAUCAGGCAAAACAUCAGAUCAAAUAUAUGUGCAUAAACGGUCUAGCAUUUAAUCUGAGUACUGCAGAAGUUCAGAAUUUUGUUGAUACAGCUGAGCACAUGUGAAUUGCACCUGGUAAAACUCACCUUUCUACCAACCAGGUAUGAAGAAUAUGAUUCUCAUUUGCAGCCAGUUUGCCCUAUUUGCUCUGCUGGUACCCAAGGAGUUCUUUAGAAGGCAACAAUGAAUGCUUUUCUUAAACCUGAAUGAUGAAAUUUCCCUUCCUUCAUGAUACUUGCCUCGGGCAAGGGAUCCCAAACAUAAAUUGCCACCUUCUUUUAAAUGACUGCAUAUCCACUAAUGAAGCAGUUGGCAGGUGAUUGGGAGUAAACUAUACCAAGAGUAGAACUGUGGGUUUCUCUAUGAAAAGUGCUAUGACCUCAAGGACGUCGUGUAGUCCUACAUGAUGCAACAGUCCUCAAAUCUUACUACACUGAUGCCCAAACAGAGACCUACUUAGCCAGCUCAUAUGUUUGUUUCAACAAACAUCCAUUCUUCCCAAUAGGUCACACAUUACUCUCUCUUUGUGCCAAUAUUUCCACAUCUUAAAAUUCAUCCAUUCCCCCUUCUUCCUAGUUACCAAGUGAGUCUGCUUGCUCUAGUUUCAGUCUUAUCAUGAACAAUCACCGCCCAUCAUGCUUUUUGAUUUGUGUUUACUGUUUUGCCAUAUCUACAUAGUACAUUUAAACCACAUGUUUAAAAUAAUCCUUUUUCAAGUAGAUCUCCUUGGCUCUUCAAAAGAAACAGAUAACAUUUCCUUGCUCUUUAAUCUUGUUUUUUAUCCAUCCAGUAGGCAUCUAGGCAGGAUGGGGGAAGCCAGAUUCACUUUCUGUUGUUAAGUGAGACAUUUGUUAAGUGAGUUUUGCCCCAUUUUACGACCUUUUUUGCUGCAGGUUUUAGCUGAAUCCUUGCAGCGAUUCACUUAAAAACUAGCAAGAAAGGUUGUAAAAUAGGGAAAAAGUCACUUAACAAACAUCUCAGCAACAUAAAUUUUGGGCUCAGUUGAGAACUACCUGUAUGCUUCCUUGUAUACAUUCAUUAAAUGCAGCCUGUAAGAUUAGACAACUUUACAGGGCUAAGAACAGGUUCUGUUCCUCUCCUUAACUUUAACUGAAUUUGUAUGUAAGUUGGAAAUUUUAUUUCUGAAUGGACUUCCUGUUAUUAAAAAGGGCAGACGGUGUUCUUCCUCAAGAGUCACGCAACAUAUAAUAAUCAGGAAAAUAUUGGAAUGUGCAGAGAUGGACAGAUUAACUAUGAGGUUGAAAGAUAAAGAAGAUACAUACUGCUAUCAAAUUUGGAACUUAUUUUAUUCUUGGCUAGAG